UACAGAGGUCUCAAGCGUUGUUCGGAUUCAUUGGGCGUAAAGGGCGCGUAGGCGGCCAGCACAAGUCAGUUGUGAAAUCUCCGAGCUUAACUCGGAAAGGUCAACUGAUACUGUGCGGCUAGAGUGCAGAAGGGGCAACUGGAAUUCUUGGUGUAGCGGUGAAAUGCGUAGAUAUCAAGAGGAACACCUGCGGCGAAGGCGGGUUGCUGGGCUGACACUGACGCUGAGGCGCGAAAGCUAGGGGAGCGAACGGG
rnacentral:rRNA from 1 species